UAUUAGGUUUAGAUGGAGCGAAAGCUUUGAUACCAAAUGAUGCAAAACCCAAGAUCAACCAGCGUGAUUAUAAUUUCACAUAAUUUUAUUUGAAGGCAUCAAAGGAAUUGAUCCUAUAGAAAUCAUCUCCCUACUUAACUCGCUAUCAAGAAUGAUAGAAACUAAGGUCAUUGGAAAUAAAAGAAAUAAAAUAAAAAAAUGCUACAAGGUUGAUUGUUGAU
rnacentral:lncRNA from 1 species